UCAAAGAUAAUUUUUUAUUCCACCUCCCUAUUAUUAGGCCCAAUUAGGGAAUUAGGGUUAGGCCUAGGCGCCACUAGGCUAAUCAAAAUUAUUUCUAAAUCUUUAAUUUAAUGAUUAAUCUGAGCCUACUCUAGACUAGAAAUAUAAUUUAUAUUUUAUACUUUUAUAGAUCUAUCAUGGCAUCUACUAGAAUGCUAGAUUCUAGAUCUAGAUCUAGUACUUAAGUUAAAGUUUAGUCUAAAGUCUAAAAUGACUAAAGACUAAAGUCUUAACUCUAAUUUUAAAGUAAUCUAAAAACUAAAGUGACUUAGUCUGUAUAGGCCUAGGGUGACUAGUCUAGCGUCUAGACUAAAGUCUAAAGUAACACUGACAAAUUUAAUAAUACACUAGACUAACCUAAUAGUAUAGGUACUAUAGGCUAAUAUAAUAAUGACUAAUAGUAAUAAACUAUAAUAUAGUAGACUAAAAAUAUUA